rnacentral:rRNA from 1 species
AAACUAAUUUAGUUUGGCGGCAUCUCAUCCAAUUAGAGGAAUUUGUCUACUAAUCGAUAAUCCGCGUUAAAUUUAACUUUAUUAAAAAAUUUAUAUACCGCCAUCUUAAGAAUUAAUUUAAAAAUAUUUCUCAAAAUAAUUAAAAAGUUAGGUCAAGGUGUAAUCCAUAUUAAAGAACCAGAUGAAUUACAUUAAAUAUAAUUUAAAGAUUUUAAAUAAAUUUAUUUAUAUAAAUACGGAUUUAAAAGUAAUAUUACAAUAAUAUUAUAAUAUGAUUUGGAUUAUAAAUGUGCACACAUCGCCC